CCGACUCCUACGGGAGGCAGCAGUGGGGAAUAUUGCACAAUGGGCGCAAGCCUGAUGCAGCGACGCCGCGUGAGGGAUGACGGCCUUCGGGUUGUAAACCUCUGUUAGCAUCGAAGAAGCGAAAGUGACGGUAGGUGCAGAGAAAGCGCCGGCUAACUACGUGCCAGCAGCCGCGGUAAUACGUAGGGCGCGAGCGUUGUCCGGAAUUAUUGGGCGUAAAGAGCUUGUAGGCGGUUGGUCGCGUCUGCUGUGAAAGGCCGGGGCUUAACU
rnacentral:rRNA from 1 species